CCUACGGGAGUCUGCAGUGGGGAAUAUUGCACAAUGGGGGAAACCCUGAUGCAGCGACGCCGCGUGAGUGAAGAAGUAUUUCGGUAUGUAAAGUUCUAUCAGCAGGGAAGAAAAUGACGGUACUUGAUUAAGAAGCACCGGCUAACUACGUGCCAGAGGCCGCGUUAAUACGUAGGGGGCAAGCGUUAUCCGGAUUUACUGGGUGUAAAGGGAGCGUAGACGGCAGCACAGGUCUGGAGUGAAAUGCCGGGGCUUAAGUCCGGAACUGCUUUGGAAACUAUGCGGCUAGAGUGCAGAUGAGGUAAGUGGAAUGCGUGGUGUAGCGGUGAAAUGCGUAGAUAUUAGGAGGAACACCAGUGGCGAAGGCGGCUUACUGAACUGUAACUGACGUUGAGGCUCGAAAGCGUGGGGAGCAAACAGGAUUAGAUACCCGGGUAGUC
rnacentral:rRNA from 1 species